GCCAAGCGCUGGAAGUAUGCAAUCUGGAAGUACUUCUGGUCAAGGGAAUUCGAUGAUGAGAUCUCGUGAGGCUUUGCAUAUGAUGCGGACUGGUCAUAACUCAGAGCAUCAAAGACAAAUGAUGGUACCAGAACUUCAGAUGCAGGUCACACAAGGAAAUAGCCAAGGAAUUCCUGCUUUUAGUGGUUUGAGCUCUGCUUUUGCUAGUCAGACAACCCCACCAGCUGUUCAGGCAUAUCCUGGCCAUCCCCAGCAGCAGCAUCCAAUGCCUCNNNNNNNNNNNCAAUCCCAUGUAAUGGGCAAUCCUCAUCAUCCUCAUCUUCAGGGUGCCAAUAACACUACAGGUCCACAGCAGCAAGCAUAUGCAAUCCGUUUGGCUAAAGAAAGGCAAAUGCAGCAGCGGCUUUUGCAGAACAACAGCAGUUUGCUUCAUCUGGCACUUUGAUGCCACAUGUCCAAUCUCAACCCCAGCUCCCUAUAUCUUCAUCUAUGCAGAAUAGCUCCCAGAAUCAACCACAAACUUCAUCACAGCCAGUAUCACUUCCCCCGUUAACAUCAUCUUCCCCAAUGACUUCCAUAUCAGUACAGCAGCAGCAGAAACAU
rnacentral:misc_RNA from 1 species